GAUGCGCACGAGCGGGUGGAGGUGACCAAGAGCGGCGGCGGGCGCGGGCGAGAUCCGGAUCGGGCAGGGGGUGGGGGUGAGAUUCGUAAGAGAGGAGGAGGAGCGUGGAGGACUUUGUUGUUUUUUUCUUUUUUGGGUAGUACGUGUUUUUUCUGCGCUUGAGGACCACAGGAACCGGGAUUAAAAGGCGCGUGGGGACAGCGGUGACAGAUUCGUAAUUUCGGUGAAAUGACGUACCGCGACGACCGUACCAUCAACACCAACUCCAAUUUAAUAUAUCGGUAUAGAUAAUUAACUAUUAAUAUUACUACAUCCAAUCCUUAAAAAGUGUCGGUCAUGUUGUACUAAGUUAGUACAAAUUUUGUACUAUAGAUCAUAAGGAGUACUAUAUAUAAUCAAAUCUAGUUUUUAUUCUCUAUUUUGUAAUAAUUGAUACCAAUUACCCA
rnacentral:lncRNA from 1 species